CUUUACGAAAUUAAACGGGAAGCCC
rnacentral:rRNA from 1 species